CGCAGCCGCGGUAAUUCCAGCUCCAAUAGCGUAUAUUAAAGUUGUUGCAGUUAAAGCUCGUAGUUGAAUUUCGGGAGCCGCGGGUCGGUUGGGCUUAACUGUCCAUCACUGGCUCCGCGGGUCUCUUACCUUCUGGCGAGGUCAGAUGUCAUUUAUUUGGUGUCUGGCGGAACCAGGACCAUUACCUUGAAAAAUUAGAGUGUUUAAAGCAGGCUUUAUCGUCUGAAUACAUUAGCAUGGAAUAAUAAAAUAGGACGGCUAAGGGUUCUAUUUUGUUGGUUUCUAGGACCACCGUAAUGAUUAAUAGGGAUAGUUGGGGGCAUUAGUAUUCAAUUGUCAGAGGUGAAAUUCUUGGAUUUAUUGAAGACUAACUACUGCGAAAGCAUUUGCCAAGGAUGUUUUCAUUAAUCAAGAACGAAAGUUAGGGGAUCGAAGACGAUCAGAUACCGUCGUAGUCUUAACCAUAAACUAUGCCGACUAGGUUUCGGGCGAUGUUAAAUUAUUUUAUGACUCG
rnacentral:rRNA from 1 species